rnacentral:tRNA from 1 species
GGGGCAUUAGCGCAGCUGGGAGCGCGCCACGCUGGCAGCGUGGAGGUCACGGGUUCGAACCCCGUAUGCUCCAC